GCUUCCGGAGCUCCGUUGGCAGAGCGAGCGACUGUUAAUCGCUAGGUCGCAGGUUCGAUCCCUGCCGGAAGCG